GAGCUUGCUCCCUGAGAUCAGCGGCGGACGGGUGAGUAACACGUGGGUAACCUGCCUGUAAGACUGGGAUAACUCCGGGAAACCGGGGCUAAUACCGGAUAACACCUACCCCCGCAUGGGGGAAGGUUGAAAGGUGGCUUCGGCUAUCACUUACAGAUGGACCCGCGGCGCAUUAGCUAGUUGGUGAGGUAAUGGCUCACCAAGGCGACGAUGCGUAGCCGACCUGAGAGGGUGAUCGGCCACACUGGGACUGAGACACGGCCCAGACUCCUACGGGAGGCAGCAGUAGGGAAUCUUCCGCAAUGGACGAAAGUCUGACGGAGCAACGCCGCGUGAGUGAAGAAGGUUUUCGGAUCGUAAAACUCUGUUGUUAGGGAAGAACAAGUGCCGUUCGAAUAGGGCGGCGCCUUGACGGUACCUAACCAGAAAGCCACGGCUAACUACGUGCCAGCAGCCGCGGUAAUACGUAGGUGGCAAGCGUUGUCCGGAAUUAUUGGGCGUAAAGCGCGCGCAGGUGGUUUCUUAAGUCUGAUGUGAAAGCCCACGGCUCAACC
rnacentral:rRNA from 1 species